rnacentral:rRNA from 1 species
CAUUCCGAUCUGCGGCCUGGUAUCUCAGUCGAUCAGAGUGUCCGGUUGAGCUUGUUUGAACUUGGAAGCUAAGCAGGGUCGGACUUGGUUGGUAAUUGGAUGGGAGACAUAAGGAAGUCCCAGUAUUGGCAGUA